UACGUAGGCAGCAAGCGUUGUUCGGAGUUACUGGGCGUAAAGGGUGUGUAGGCGGCUUCGUAAGUUCGGUGUGAAAUCUCCCGGCUCAACUGGGAGGGUGCGCCGAAAACUGCGAAGCUGGAGCGCAGGAGAGGAAAGCAGAAUUCCUGGUGUAGCGGUGAAAUGCGUAGAUAUCAGGAGGAACACCGGUGGCGAAGGCGGGUCUCUGGGCCGAUAUUGACGCUGAGGAGCGAAAGCGUGGGGAGCGAACAGG
rnacentral:rRNA from 1 species